AUACGGAGGCUCCGAGCGUUAUCCGGAUUUAUUGGGUUUAAAGGGAGCGUAGGCGGACGCUUAAGUCAGUUGUGAAAGUUUGCGGCUCAACCGUAAAAUUGCAGUUGAUACUGGUUUCCUUGAGUACGGUACAGGUGGGCGGAAUUCGUGGUGUAGCGGUGAAAUGCUUAGAUAUCACGAAGAACUCCGAUCGCGAAGGCAGCUCACCGGGCCGGAACUGACACUGAUGCUCGAAAGUGCGGGUAUCAAACAGGAUUAGAUACCCUGGUAGUCCGCACAGUAAACGAUGAAUACUCGCUGUUUGCGAUACACGGUAAGCGGCCAAGCGAAAGCGUUAAGUAUUCCACCUGGGGAGUACGCCGGCAACGGUGAAACUUAAAGGAAUUGACGGGG
rnacentral:rRNA from 1 species